AGAGCUUGGGCUCCAAGGGAAACAAACACUGCCUGGGUCCUUGCGGCAAUGGCUGGUACCUUCUUACCAGGGCUCAACUCUCCAAAUCCUCAUUAUAUCCCAGGGUACACUGGACACUGCCCCUUCCUGAGGUUCAGCAUGGGCCAGACCUACGGGCAGGUGACUGGUCAGCUACUCCGAGGCCCUCCUGGUCUAGCCUGGCCCCCUGCCCGUCGUUCACUUCUGCCACCCAUUCAGCCCCCAAGGUCUCCCACGGUCCCUGCAGGCAGCCUGCCUCUUGGGCAUGGUUGUGGAAGGCUCAGCUCCAGUAUGAUCCCCGGGUACACAGGUUUGUAUGCAGGUACGAUCAGACACCCUCAGCCUAAAAAGCUGUGUCUCCAAGUACCAACAAAGCUUUCCCGCCCCUGUCCACCCAGGGUUUGUACCCCAGGCACAGUUCAUCUUUGCCAAGAACUGCAGCCAGGUCUGGGCCGAGGUCCUGAACAGCUCCCCUCAGUGGAAGGGGAGUCCAGAGCUGCCCCAGCAGGUGGUCAAGAGAGAAACAGAAACAGAGAAAGACCAGGAGCCUGCGCUGGAGCCAGGGGCAGAGAGGCUGCCAGAGCCCCAGCAGGCAGCAGGACAGGUAUGGCACCUCAUGCUGGGCUGGUGCGCCUCAUCCUGGGCUAGUCCUGGAGUUUCACUGGGGGAUGCAGAAGGGGCAGUCAGAGGCUUGACUGCCAGCUCUGUGUCCCUUGGGGUUUGAGCGUCGGAGAUGCUAACCUCAUUUUCCUUCUGCUGACAUCUCAUAGGCUUCCCCCUACUCCAUGGAUGACACAGAUCCUCAGAAGUUCUUCAUGUCAGGAUUCACUGGCUACGUGCCCCGGGCCCGCUUCCUCUUCGGCUCCAGCUUUCCUGUGCUCACCAAGUAGGCGCUGCAGGAAUUUGGGCGGAAGCACUCUAGGGGCAGAGCCCUGAAGGGUCCUAACCCUCUCCCCCCGCUGCCCAGGACCUACUCUCAGAACGAGACUCUUCUGCCCCACUACGGGGGCUAUGUGCCGGGGUAUAAGUUCCAGUUUGGUCACACAUUUGGGCAUCUCACCCAUGAUGCGCUGGGCCUCAGCACUUUGCAGAAGCAGCUCCUGACUUAGGGAGCUGGAGUUCCA